CCUUGGCCCUGGCUGUCCCAGGGGAGGAGGUGAAAUUCCUCAGCUCUCCACCAAGAUUGGCCACAAAAGCCUGAUCCCCUGGAACACAGCAGGCCUCACAUAGACGGUCAGCCAUUGGAUCAUAGGAACUGCCCUGGCCUGACUCACCCAAUAUGGAGGAGGUGCCUGGGGAUGCCCUGUGUGAACACUUUGAGGCCAACAUACUUACCCAGAACCGCUGUCAGAACUGCUUCCACCCUGAGGAGGCCCAUGGAGCAAGAUACCAGGAGCUCAGGAGCCCUUCAGGUGCUGAGGUGCCCUACUGCGACCUGCCUCGAUGUCCACCUGCCCCUGAGGACCCACUCAGCGCCUCAACCUCCGGCUGCCAGUCUGUGGUGGACCCGGGCCUCAGGCCAGGGCCCAAGAGGGGCCCAUCCCCCUCAGCAGGGCUCCCAGAAGAGGGUCCCACAGCUGCCCCCAGGAGCAGGAGCCGGGAGCUUGAGGCAGUACCCUAUCUGGAGGGCCUGACCACUUCCUUGUGUGGCAGCUGCAACGAGGACCCCGGCUCUGACCCCACCUCCAGCCCUGACUCCGCCACCCCUGAUGAUACCAGCAACUCGUCCUCUGUGGACUGGGACGCUGUUGAGAGGCAGGAGGAGGCCCCCAGCUGGGACGAGCUCGCAGUGAUGAUCCCGAGGAGGCCUCGGGAGGGGCCGAGAGCUGACAGCUCCCAAAGGGCUCCGUCUCUCCUCACCAGGUCCCCUGUGGGAGGAGAUGCUGCAGGCCAGAAAAAGGAGGACACCGGCGGUGGGGGCCGGAGUGCAGGACAGCACUGGGCAAGGCUCCGGGGAGAAAGCGGGUUGUCCCUGGAGCGGAACCGGUCAACACUGACCCAGGCUUCCUCCAUGACACCACACAGUGGACCUCGAAGCACCACGUCUCAGGCUUCUCCUGCCCAAAGGGACACUGCUCAGGCUGCCUCUACACGUGAAAUCCCCAGAGCCUCCUCUCCCCAUCGAAUCACCCAAAGGGACACCUCCAGGGCCUCAUCCACCCAAGAGGACACCCCCAGGGCCUCAUCUACACAGUGGAACACCCCCGGAGCUUCCUCUCCCUCACGAAGCACCCAACUGGAUAACCCCAGAACCUCUUCUACCCAGCAGGACAACCCCCAAACUUCUUUUCCUACUUGUACUCCCCAGCGGGAAAACCCCAGGACACCCUGUGUCCAGCAGGACGAUCCCAGAGCCUCCUCUCCCAACAGAACCACUCAACGAGAGAAUUCCAGAACAUCCUGUGCCCAGCGGGACAAUCCCAAAGCCUCCAGAACCUCCUCUCCCAAUAGAGCCACACGAGACAACCCCAGAACAUCCUGCGCCCAGCGGGACAAUCCCAGAGCCUCCUCUCCCAAUAGAGCUACACGAGACAACCCCACAACAUCCUGUGCCCAGCGGGACAAUCCCAGAGCCUCCAGAACCUCCUCUCCCAAUAGAGCCACACGAGACAACCCCAGAACAUCCUGCGCCCAGCGGGACAAUCCCAGAGCCUCCUCUCCCAAUAGAGCUACACGAGACAACCCCACAACAUCCUGUGCCCAGCGGGACAAUCCCAGAGCCUCCAGAACCUCCUCUCCCAAUAGAGCCACACGAGAUAACCCCAGAACAUCCUGUGCCCAGCAGGACAAUCCCAGAGCCUCCUCUCCCAACAGAACCACCCAACGAGACAGCCCCAGAACAUCCUGUGCCCGACGGGACAAUCCCAGAGCCUCCUCUCCUAACAGAACCAUCCAACAAGAGAACCCCAGAACAUCCUGUGCCCGACGGGACGAUCCCAGAGCCUCCUCUCGCAACAGAACCAUCCAGCGAGACAACCCCAGAACAUCCUGUGCCCAGCGGGACAAUCCCAGAGCCUCCUCUCCUAACAGAACCAUCCAACAAGAGAACCUCAGAACAUCCUGUACCCGACAGGACAAUCCCAGGACCUCCUCUCCCAAUAGAGCCACACGAGACAACCCCAGAACAUCCUGUGCCCAGCGGGACAAUCUCAGAGCCUCCUCUCCCAUCAGAGCCACCCAACAGGACAACCCCAGAACUUGUAUUCAACAGAACAUCCCCAGAUCAUCUUCUACCCAACAAGACAACCCUAAAACCUCUUGUACCAAACGAGAUAACCUCAGACCCACUUGUACACAGUGGGACCGCACACAGUCCUUUUCCUUUCAACGAGACAACCCUGGAACCUCCUCAUCUCAAUGCUGCACCCAAAAGGAGAAGCUGAGACCAUCAUCUCCCCACCGCUCCACUCAAUGGAACAAUCCCAGGAAUUCAUCUCCCUAUCGUACUAACAAAGACAUCCCCUGGGCCUCGUUUCCCCUCCGGCCAACUCAGAGUGAUGGUCCCCGAACCUCUUCCCCAUCUCGCUCCAAGCAAAGCGAGGUUCCCUGGGCAUCCAUCGCCCUCCGGCCAACCCAAGGUGACAGGCCUCAGACAUCCUCUCCCAGCAGGCCAGCCCAGCAUGACCCACCCCAGUCCUCCUUUGGCCCCACCCAGUACAACUUGCCAUCCCGGGCCACCUCUUCCUCCCAUAACCCAGGCCACCAGAGCACCUCCCGAACUUCCUCACCUGUGUACCCCGCUGCCUAUGGGGCUCCCCUGACCUCUCCUGAGCCCUCCCAGCCUCCAUGUGCUGUGUGCAUUGGGCACCGGGAUGCCCCUCGAGCCUCUUCGCCCCCUCGCUAUUUGCAGCAUGACCCCUUCCCCUUCUUCCCAGAGCCUCGCGCCCCUGAGAGUGAACCGCCCCACCAUGAGCCUCCCUAUAUACCACCUGCUGUGUGCAUUGGACACCGAGAUGCCCCCCGGGCGUCCUCGCCCCCCCGCCACACCCAAUUUGACCCCUUCCCCUUCCUCCCAGACACAUCAGAUGCCGAGCAUCAGUGUCAGUCCCCCCAACACGAGCCCCUUCAGCUCCCUGCACCUGUGUGUAUUGGGUACCGAGAUGCACCCCGGGCCUCCUCCCCACCACGCCAGGCCCCAGAGCCUUCCCUCUUAUUCCAGGACCUCCCCAGGGCCAGCACAGAGAGCCUUGUCCCUUCCAUGGACUCUCUGCACGAGUGCCCCCACAUCCCCACUCCUGUGUGCAUUGGGCACCGGGAUGCACCCUCCUUUUCAUCCCCACCACGCCAGGCUCCUGAGCCAUCCCUCUUCUUCCAGGAUCCCCCUGGAACUAGUAUGGAGAGCCUGGCCCCCUCCACUGACUCUCUGCAUGGCUCCCCAGUGCUGAUCCCCCAAGUGUGCAUUGGGCACCGGGAUGCACCCCGAGCCUCCUCCCCACCCCGCCACCCACCCAGUGACCUAGCGUUCCUGGCACCCUCACCUUCAGCGGGCAGCUCUGGGGGCUCCCGGGGCUCAGCGCCUCCUGGGGAGACCAGGCACAACUUGGAGCGGGAUGAGUACACUGUGCUGGCCGACCUGCCCCCACCCAGGAGGCUGGCCCAGAGACAGCCAGGGCCCCAGGCGCAGUGCAGCAGCGGGGGCCGCACCCGCAGCCCUGGCCGCGCAGAGGUGGAGCGCCUCUUCGGGCAAGAGCGCAGGAAGUCCGAGGCAGCGGGGGCCUUCCAGGCCCAGGACGAGGGACGGUCACAGCAGCCCAGCCAAGGCCAGAGCCAACUUCUCGGAAGACAGUCCAGCCCUGCCCCCAGCAGGCAGGUGACCAAGCUCCCUGCCAAACAGGCAGAACUGACCCGGCGGAGCCAAGCAGAGCCCCCUCAUCCUUGGAGUCCCGAGAAGAGACCUGAGGGAGAUCGGCAGCUCCAGGGGUCCCCAUUGCCCCCCAGGACAUCAGCCGGGACCCCUGAGAGGGAGCUGCGGACACAGAGACCUCUGGAGAGUGGCCAAGCAGGCCCAAGACAGCCUCUGGGGGUGUGGCAGAGUCAGGAGGAACCGCCAGGGUCCCAGGGCCCUCAUAGACACCUAGAAAGGAGCUGGAGCAGCCAGGAGGGAGGCCUGGGCCCUGGGGGCUGGCGGGGAUGUGGAGAGCCCAGCCUGGGGGCAGCCAAAGCCCCGGAGGGAGCAUGGGGGCGCACUCCCAGGGAGUACAGGGAGAGCUGGGGGCAGCCAGAGGCCUGGGAGGAGAAGCCCACUCAUGAGCUCCCCAGAGAACUAGGGAAGAGAAGCCCACUCACGAGCCCCCCUGAGAACUGGGGAGGCCCCACAGAGUCCUCACAAUCCUGGCACUCUGGGACACCCACUGCUGUGGGCUGGGGGGCAGAGGGAGCGUGUCCGUACCCGCGUGGCUCUGAGAGGCGACCCGAGCUUGACUGGAGGGAUCUGCUUGGCCUUCUCCGGGCACCAGGAGAGGGGGUCUGGGCCCGUCUCCCCAGCCUGGACUGGGAGGGCCUCUUGGAGCUGCUGCAGGCCAGGCUGCCCCGCAAGGACCCAGCUGGACACAGGGAUGACCCGGCCAGGGCUUUAGGGCCAGAGCUGGGUCCCCCAGGCACAAAGGAUGUCCCUGAGCAGGAGUCACACAGCCAGCCAGAAGGCUGGGCCGAGGCCACCCCAGUCAAUGGACACAGCCCCGCACUGCAGUCCCAGAGCCCGGUCCAGCUGCCCAGCCCUGCCUGCACCUCCACCCAGUGGCCAAAGAUCAAAGUGACAAGAGGACCAGCGACCACAACUCUGGCAGGCCUGGAGCAGACGGGCCCCCUGGGGAGCAGGAGCGCUGCGGAGGGCCCCAGCUUGCCAGAGCUGCAGUUCCAACCAGAGGAGCCUGAGGAGUCAGAACCAAGCAGAGGCCAAGACCCCCUGACUGACCAGAAGCAGGCAGACUCGGCAGACAAGAGGCCAGCAGAGGGCAAGGCUGGGAGCCCGCUCAAGGGCCGACUGGUGACCUCAUGGCGGAUGCCCGGGGACCGGCCCACGCUGUUCAAUCCGUUCCUGCUGUCUCUGGGGGUCCUCAGGUGGCGAAGGCCCGAUCUGCUCAACUUCAAGAAGGGAUGGAUGUCGAUCUUGGACGAGCCUGAAGAGCCUCCCUCCCCCUCGCUCACCACCGCCUCUACUUCGCAGUGGAAGAAACAUUGGUUUGUGCUGACAGAUUCAAGUCUCAAAUAUUACAGAGACUCCACUGCUGAGGAGGCAGAUGAGCUGGAUGGUGAGAUCGACCUGCGUUCCUGCACGGAUGUCACUGAGUACGCGGUGCAGCGCAACUAUGGCUUCCAGAUCCACACCAAGGAUGCUGUCUAUACCUUGUCGGCCAUGACCUCAGGCAUCCGGCGGAACUGGAUCGAGGCUCUGAGAAAGACCGUACGUCCAACUUCAGCCCCAGAUGUCACCAAGCUCUCGGACUCUAAUAAGGAGAACGCGCUGCACAACUACAGCACCCAGAAGGGCCCCCUGAAGGCAGGGGAGCAGCGGGCGGGCUCUGAGGUCAUCAGCCGGGGUGGCCCUCGGAAGGCGGACGGGCAGCGUCAGGCCUUGGACUACGUGGAGCUCUCGCCGCUGACCCAGGCUUCCCCGCAGCGGGCCCGCACCCCGGCCCGCACUCCUGACCGCCUGGCCAAGCACGAGGAGCUGGAGCGGGACCUGGCCCAGCGCUCCGAGGAGCGGCGCAAGUGGUUUGAGGCCACAGACAGCAGGACCCCAGAGGUGCCUGCUGGUGAGGGGCCGCGCCGGGGCCUGGGUGCCCCCCUGACUGAGGACCAGCAAAACCGGCUCAGUGAGGAGAUCGAGAAGAAGUGGCAGGAGCUGGAGAAGCUGCCCCUGCGGGAGAAUAAGCGGGUGCCCCUCACUGCCCUGCUCAACCAAAGCCGCGGAGAGCGCCGAGGGCCCCCAAGUGACGGCCACGAGGCACUGGAGAAGGAGGUUCAGGCUCUUCGGGCCCAGCUGGAGGCGUGGCGUCUCCAAGGGGAGGCUCCUCAGAGUGCACUGAGAUCCCAGGAGGAUGGCCACAUCCCCCCGGGCUACAUCUCACAGGAGGCAUGUGAGCGCAGCCUGGCAGAGAUGGAGUCCUCACACCAGCAGGUGAUGGAGGAGCUGCAGCGGCACCACGAGCGGGAGCUGCAGCGCCUGCAGCAGGAGAAGGAGUGGCUCCUGGCUGAGGAGACGGCAGCCACGGCCUCAGCCAUUGAAGCCAUGAAGAAGGCCUACCAGGAAGAGCUGAGCCGAGAGCUGAGCAAAACACGGAGUCUCCAGCAGGGCCCGGAUGGCCUCCGGAAGCAGCACCAGUGCUGCUUCGCGUAAAAGAAAACGAACUCCAGUACCUAAAGAAGGAGGUGCAGUGCCUCCGGGACGAGCUCCAGAUGAUGCAGAAGGACAAGCGCUUCACCUCGGGAAAGUACCAGGACAUCUAUGUGGAGCUGAGCCACAUCAAGACACGGUCUGAGCGGGAGAUCGAGCAGCUGAAGGAGCACCUGCGCCUUGCCAUGGCCGCCCUCCAGGAGAAGGAAUCGAUGCGCAACAGCCUGGCUGAGUAGAGGUGGAUGCCGAGGCGUGUGCCCUGCAGGGUGGGCAGGGGCUGAGGCUCUCCCACACCUGGGACUCCCUGGACCACCCCAGCCAGGCCACUUCCUUCUUCUGGCCUCCAAUUCCCGUUCUGUAAAAAGGACAAUGAAACCAGCAACACGGGGUUGUUGCAGAGAUCCCAUCAGACCCGGGCCACAGGCUGCUUCAUCAGCUUAAGCCUGUUCCUCCAGAGCUGGGCGGCACAGUGCAGAGCCACAGCCUGCUCAGUGCACCCCCCUUCUUGGGGCUGGAGGCAAAUGCAGCGUGCACAUCCCUGACCCCCACAGUGAAUCUCCACUGAGCUUCACACACACACAUCGCACGCUGAGGCCGGGCUUCUAUCCCAGUUAGUCUUAACACUCCUUCUUGACUUAGCAGGGCUCAAAGUGGUUGGUUGGUUGGUUGGUUGGUUGGUUGGUUGGUUGGUUGGUUGGUUUUGGUUGCUUUGAGACAAGGUCUUACUCUGACACCCAGGCUGGAGUGCAGUGGUGCAAUCAUGGCUCACUGCAGCCUCAACCUCCUAGGCUCAAGGGAUCCUCCCACCUCAGCCUUCUGAGUAGCUGGGACCACAGGCCCUCACCACCAUGCCCAGAUAAUUUUUGCACUUUUUGUAUAGGUGGGGUUUCGCCGUGAUUUCCCAGGCUGGUCUCGAACUCCUGGGCUCAAGCAAUACACCUGCCUCAGCCUCCCAAAAUUCUGAGAUUACAGGUGUGAGCCGCUGCACCUGGCCAAAGUGUUCUUAUUUUUGCUUUUUCAACGCCACAUCUACCUGGAGCAUCCUCUUUCUGAUAAGUCCUCAUAGACUUCCUAAGGCAUGCAGGAGAGGCCACCCUAUGGCUGAGCUGCUUGGGAAGGAGCCAGGAAGAGCGGAUCUGGCUGUACCUUAGGGGCUGAGAGGUGGUGGAAGGACCCACUCAGCACCCUUGCUUGGCCUCGGGGUGGCCUCGCAGCCCCUCAGCCCAGGCCUCAGCCCUGCCGCACCUUGUCUUUCAGGUCCCGCCCAGCUGCAGACCCUCCAGGCUGGAGGACCAGCCGCCCUCCUUCCCUCCUGGAUGGAAGUAAAAAGCCAAGCUUUCUCCCCACCCUCUGUGGGCCACACGUGCACUUGCACCCACCACACACACACACACACACACAGACACAUACACACACACGUGCACACA